AUUGAACGCUGGCGGCAUGCCUUACACAUGCAAGUCGAACGGUAACGCGGGGCAACCUGGCGACGAGUGGCGAACGGGUGAGUAAUGCAUCGGAACGUGCCCGGUAGUGGGGGAUAACUGCUCGAAAGAGCAGCUAAUACCGCAUACGACCUGAGGGUGAAAGGGGGGGAGCGCAAGACCUCUCGCUAUCGGAGCGGCCGAUGUCGGAUUAGCUAGUUGGUGGGGUAAAGGCCUACCAAGGCGACGAUCCGUAGCUGGUCUGAGAGGACGACCAGCCACACUGGGUCUGAGACACGGCCCAGACUCCUACGGGAGGCAGCAGUGGGGAAUUUUGGACAAUGGACGCAAGUCUGAUCCAGCCAUGCCGCGUGCGGGAAGAAGGCCUUCGGGUUGUAAACCGCUUUUGUCAGGGAAGAAAUCUUCUGAGUUAAUACCUCGGGAGGAUGACGGUACUUGAAGAAUAAGCACCGGCUAACUACGUGCCAGCAGCCGCCGUAACAC
rnacentral:rRNA from 1 species